CAUUGAGAAUGGCGGCGAGAUCUGUGAGCUUAAAGGUUCCAUCUCUCCCGCAAAUAGUGGAGCAUCUUAUUGAUUGUUUGAAUUUUUUGAUUUCGUUUGCUUUAGAACAUAGGCUUGGUUAGUUUUAUGUAACCUUUUGUUUAUUUUCGUUGUUGGUUUGAUUGAAUAAGUUGCCAAAUGAUGAUUGAAAAUUUUGCGCAAGGGUUUUGAGUUUCGGAUGAUUGGAGUUUACUCUGGUCUGAAGGAACCGUGACAAAAUUAUUUUCUAAUAAUUCAUUCUGAUGGCAGCUCAAUCAUUGUUAGAUAUAUCAAAUUUCAAUUCGAGUUUUGGGUGCAUGGUUUGAUUCGGAUGGUUAAUUGUAGUUUGUUUUGUUAGUAGAAGCUUGGUUUUGGGGCAGCUUAAUGAAUUUUAGGAUUCAAGUUUUCAAAUCAUUUAGCCUAUAAUGUUCUGAAAUGUGUUGUGUAAUGGCUUUGAUUUCCUGAGGAUCUGACUAUAGAAUGUUUAAAAUCCUGAGGAACGGUGGGAAAUCAUGUAUUUGUGUUUCUUUUUUUUUUUAAGAUUCAGGUUCUACAAAUUAUGCUUAAAGGGCUUUGAGCUCCUGACCGCUUGUAUUAUGAGAUCCAAGAAAAUGUGAAAAGUCGUUUUUUUUUCCUUUCCCAUUUUGAUGGUUUGGGUUGCAUUUUACUGUUCUUUUAGUUAUCAUGACUAUGCUAGAUUCUGGUCUGGACAUAAGUUGCUUAAGAUGUGUGGAAAUUAUGCGUAAUGGAUUUAGAAUUGGCAAUUUGUUAUUUGAAGGAAUUCACUUCUAUAGAUAUCCUUUAAUGGCACCCGUUCAUGGUCAGCUCCAAAUAUGCAAGAAAUCGGAAAAUGCAUUAGUGUAGUCCUCUUUUCUGGUAUAUUGUCAAUACUCAAAUCUUACAUAAACUUUGUUUCAAGGACAAUGAAGCAUGUGGUCAAGAUUUUGAGCCUGCUGGUAGCUGUCUCUGCCUUUUAGUUUGCUCUCUUGCAGGCUGCAAUUAUGGCUCGUAGCCAAACAUAGUUGCUACCUAUAUACGUUGUAGUGUCCUUUGCUAUUAAUUGUUGGAAUCGGUUUAGUGCAGUUCCCUACCUCUCCUAAAGAAGCAGUUUUUCUGCAGCGGGUACUUUCAGUACUCUUUUCUUUCUUUGUUAACUCGAAUUGUUAAUUAAGGUUAAAUUAAGUUCUUGACUAGUGCUUUUGCUCCUAGCUGUUGUUAAUGUUGAUUAUGUACUAGUUUGUUUUGGUGCUAUUGUUAUAUUGCAGGAUAUUGCAGAUGCAAAAAGACUUCUUAAGCGCUAACGGAAUUGAUGUUGGAUCGGAUUUGACACAUUAUGGUUUACUUCUUUUCAACUCCCUAACCAGUGUAAUAGAAUACUUGGAGUCUUCGAUGGUUCAUAGAAAGAGUUCCCAUUUUCAUUAUGUACAGUCGUUUACUAUGUUUUUUUGAGAGAUGUACAUUGAGAAACCGGUGUUUGCAAUUGGAUUUUGUUU
rnacentral:sRNA from 1 species